UGUCUUCUAGGAGACAAUAAACUUGGCACAAUACAAAGAAGAUUAAUAUAGCCCCUACACAAGGAUGACAUGCAUGUAUUAGGAAAUGCUUUGCAUUCAU